UGUGUUGUUCUAAAAAGUCACAGAUUCAGGUCUAGAAGCCCAUGGUUUGGGUAUUGCUCUGGGGGAGCUACGCUGUGUUCAGAGAGGUCAGAAGUGCACUUCAGUUUCUGCAGAGCUAAAAGUGAGUCUAUAAAAUGUCAAGAGGAGAAAUUUAUCCUUGUCUUGCAUGUCCUCUUACUUAUUACAUUUCUCAUAUAAUUCUGCACAUACCUGUGCUUGUAAGCUUAGUUUUGCAAUUUUCGCAUCUCAUCAGAGGCUCACACACAUGCUGUUUUAGAAGCAUAGAAUGAAACAUAAUGGGAAAGGACUUAUCUCUUAGUUUAGGGAGAAAUUUAUUCUCCUAGUCUAUUUAUAUUGAAUUAAGCUCUGUUAUUACUCUGUCUUCUCUAUUGAUUACCUUCUCGAGUAUGUUUAGAGUGAGCAAUUGCCAUGAUCUUCUAAAUUGCUGACAUUUGAAAAGAGGGAAUUCAAACACCUUCAUUUUAAGUUUUUUUUUUCUUAAAUAUAUUUACCAAAUUCUGUAAUUUAUCCAUUAUCCACCCCUUAGGUUCAUCUGUCUAUACGUAACUGCGCCUGCUUGCAUUGUGUGUGAUAACAACACUGCGACGUGGUUUUCUUCACUGUAGGCAAAAAAUCGGCAGCUGAUAAAAGAAUCUGUCAGACUUCUGCAGAAAGAACAUACAAUUUCUGGAUUAUGACAACUUUCUAGAGCAUCACUGCCAGUAUUUUAUCACUUCAAGAUUUCUCUGCUUGUGUAGUUAAGCAGAUCUUGAUAAGGUUUGUCUGGAAUUCUGUUUCUUAAUGACUCUAAAUAACAUUACUCCUUGAAAUCAUGUUAUCCAUGUGCCAUAAUAUCCAAUUUUUUUUCUGUGCAUAUGGAAGGUAAAUGCCAAGCACGUAUGCAGUCUAGUUUUACUGGUUUUUAUCUUAAGCUUUGAACAUUAUAUUGUUCUUAGAAUCUAGAAAGCAGGACAAAUAAUUUUACAUUCUGCUUUUUGGUGGGUUGAUGUGUUCCUCUUUAUUCAAAAUUAGUUUAUUUUCACCAGGUUUUGGCUCUGCCGAAUUGUUUAUGCUUAAGUAUGGAGUGAGACCCUUGGAGGUAGUCACUAAUCUCCAUGCGUUCGUGUAACAGAGUUAUUAUAACACAUUGCACAGGGUACAUGCAUGGGUACCUUCAGUCACUAAGGGGAGCUAUUUUGUAACAGAAGUGAGUUACAAGAAGGGAAAAAUGGAGCCGACUUGAUGCCAAGAGAAAAACUGACUGAUCGAGCAUUUUUUUCCCUGAAAAUUUAUCUUACAUUGAGGUCCCAUUGGUAUUUAGAAGCCAGUGGUCCCUUUACAUUGGAGCAAGGCAGCAUAGCAGGCAGAGCUCACAGGGGGUACACCUAACUUGUGUAAGGCCAGGUCCCCCACUGUUAACUUCACAUCACUUUGGAAAAGGCUUCUGACCUGCUUCUCUUAUGAACAGCAACAUAAGUUCAUGCCUGAACUUUUUCUUUGCACCUUGUCUAGAUAUUUAUACCUGUGAACAGGGAGUGCUGAGCUGCCACCAAGAAAAAAAAAAAGAACACUUAUUUGGGAGAAUUUCAUACUCACUUAGUGCAGGCAGAAAUGAAGACUUAAAAGCUGUGGCAAAGGAGAGUAAGACCUGGAGACUGUCUUGAGCUCUGUGAAAAUUAUCAGACAGAAUCCUUCCCCAUCGCAGAGCACUUCUGGCAUGUCAUUGGUUUGGUCAAUGACUUGGAAAGCAGUUCAGCGGGCAGUACAACUGAAAUGGCAGCUUCUAUUGAUGGAAGAUGACACAGGAGAUAAGGAAGAGAAGAGAAAGGAGCAGGCUGAGGAAGAGAAAUCAUUCACGAUUGAAGAUGGGGAGGAAAAACAAACAGCACCUGCUGAAUGCUGGGGGGGCAGUACUCAGACCGUGGCAUUCACUAGCUGGUGCAAGAACAGACCCAAACGGAGGUGCAUUGAGAUCUACUGACAAUAACCUUUUCAUCAAACAUGAGGAGCUGCAUGUCUUUUUGCUUCAAAUGGUCUUAUCCUUAGGCAAUGGUGACGUUAAUGAGGCCUGUGGAUAUGACAGGAGAGAGGACACUGCAGAUUCUUCAGGACCAAGACUUGGAGACUUCAUGAAAACUGUUUUUAAAGAUGCUUUGUAUGAGCCAAGUGUUCAGGUGUGGUGCUCAGCGAAGGCAGUAGUUGCUGCUCAGGGAAGUUAAAACACUGCUGUGCUUCUUCACCGUGGAGAAAGAAUAGUGUGAGGAAA